AAGAACUGCUAAUUCAUGCUACCAUGUCUGAACACAUGGCUUUCUUA
rnacentral:tRNA from 1 species